GCUCCCAACGGGCCGUGAGUAAACUGAGGAUUUCCCGGCUGAAAGGACUCAGUGUCUGCCUGUCCCCGGCCCAGAAAUGAAAGCGAGUUUCAGCCGAUCCUCAUUGUGGAGCCUGCUGAAAAAGCAGCCCGGGUCGCCCCGGCCAGCCCCGGCGUCCUGAAUCGGAGCCCUGUGCGCGCCAGGCCGGGCCGCGCGCCCGGGUUGCAGGAUGGCGUGCCCAGGCCAGCCCAUCUGCGGCCGCGGGCCGGCGGGGAGGAAGCGUCCCUGGGGAUGAAUGGGGCUUUGUUCGUAGGCAGCCGCGGCUACCCUCUGCAGGCCCGGCCCGCACAACAGAGGCUGUAUGCGACAGGAAUGGAAAUGAGCCUCAGGCCCUGCCCAAGGAGCCCCAUCCCCUUCCCCGCGCAGGGCUGAGGAAUGCUGGCCAGCCGGAAAGGAACCCUCGCUGGGAACGCCGCUCUCGCGCCUCUGAAACCCCAUUGAGAAGAACACUUUGAUGCAAUUAAAGCGUAUUUCAUUGCAGGCCUGGGAGGAGGGAACGACCGGCAAGCUUUUUUCUGUCUCGGACGUGUGUGUGCACCUUUGUGGGCCGGGUUACUUCGACAGCAGGCAGGAACUUGAGCUCCCUCUCUCGCAGACGUUCUGUAACAUCAGAAAAGCGUACCCAGAAACAGAUUGGUUUUCACCAGGGGUAGGACCCAAUUUGGACACCAUCCAGGCUGACCUGCAGGCCGGGGUUCCUACUUUGAAAGGCUCUUUGGUGCGCCUUACACCCACCUUCACUGCUGUAAAGGUUUAGGCGGAAAAGAAAUUGCGUUUGCAGGAGGAAGUUGUUUCUGAGGUUACCGCUCAGCAUUUUCCAUUUUCUCAGUGGUGGGGUGGGCUGUGUCGCAUAUCCAGAAGUGAUGUCACAGCCAGACCUGCAAAGUGAUGUAACCUGCAAGUGUUGAAGGACGGCGAGGGGACAGCUAUUUUGAUACUCGUAUUAUUUUAUAACAUUUCCCUACUUUUUCCAUUGAGACAACUGUGUGACCUCAGAAAAUCCACACAGCCUCUCUGAGCUUAAUAUUUGUGGUAUGUUAAAGUGAAUAUCACAAAGCCAGGGAACAAAUGUCAUGAAGUUCUGAGUGCUUGUGGAAUUCUUUCUAAGUUGGAGGUGGACACUUCAUAUACCUGCACACAUGGAAGAUAUGUGGGACUGGAACUCCAUGUAUGCCUCCUUGAGAACGUGAACCUUUAAACAACAACAGCAACAAAACAACAACAACAAACGAAGACAGAGUCCUGCACGCUCUCCCAGGCUAGAGUGUAGUGUGCAAUCAUCGCAGUCUACAGUAUCCCUGCCUCAAGCUAUCCUGCCGCCCCACCUUGGCCUCCUGAAGGGCUCCAAUUACAGGAGGGAGCCACUGCACCCAGCCAAACCUGUCUUUUUUUCUGUAUCUCCUAUGCCCAGAGCAGUCCCUGGCCUUGAUAAGGGUUCAACAAAUAUGUCGAAUGAAUGAAUGAAUACAUUCAGGAGUGUAGGGAUUGAUA